UGCCCAGCAACUCCUAUCCUUACCUCCGCGUGGCACCGUCCGGGCUGCGAGAAACCUUAGGGACGAUCGGGUAACUAACCCCAGUGGGAACUUUGGUCGUAGGCUGACAGGGAAGG
rnacentral:ribozyme from 1 species